UGAGCAACCUGCCCCUGGCUCUGGGAUAACCCCGGGAAACCGGAGCUAAUACCGGAUACGAGACCGAUUGGCAUCUAUACGGUCUGGAAAGUUUUUCGGCCAGGGAUGGGCUCGCGGCCUAUCAGCUUGUUGGUGGGGUAAUGGCCCACCAAGGCGACGACGGGUAGCCGGCCUGAGAGGGCGAUCGGCCACACUGGGACUGAGACACGGCCCAGACUCCUACGGGAGGCA
rnacentral:rRNA from 1 species